rnacentral:rRNA from 1 species
AGUGAACGCUGGCGGUAGGCCUAACACAUGCAAGUCGAACGGCAGCACAGUAAGAGCUUGCUCUUACGGGUGGCGAGUGGCGGACGGGUGAGGAAUACAUCGGAAUCUACUUUUUCGUGGGGGAUAACGUAGGGAAACUUACGCUAAUACCGCAUACGACCUACGGGUAAAAGCAGGGGAUCUUCGGACCUUGCGCGAUUGAAUGAGCCGAUGUCGGAUUAGCUAGUUGGCGGGGUAAGGGCCCACCAAGGCGACGAUCCGUAGCUGGUCUGAGAGGAUGAUCAGCCACACUGGAACUGAGACACGGUCCAGACUCCUACGGGAGGCAGCAGUGGGGAAUAUUGGACAAUGGGCGCAAGCCUGAUCCAGCCAUACCGCGUGGGUGAAGAAGGCCUUCGGGUUGUAAAGCCCUUUUGUUGGGAAAGAAAAGCAGCAGGUUAAUACCCCGCUGUUCUGACGGUACCCAAAGAAUAAGCACCGGCUAACUUCGUG